rnacentral:lncRNA from 1 species
AUCGCCAUCUUUCUUAGAUUACGGAGGUGUAUUUUUAACAACACAAGAUAUAUAUUGAUCACCAGAUAUUUUUAUAAUUCGAGGGACAUUAUAAUAUAUAUGAGCCACCAUUUCCUACGGAAGUCUUGCCGCUACACCAUUGCAUUACUUUUAUUAUUUUUGUCAACAUGAACUAAUCUUGACUUAGCUCGUCGGUACCACGGUUUACCAUUGUGGCAGUUGGGGAGAGGACGGGCCGGGAGUCAUAUGUAUGCACAAAAAGCAUCUGCACUGCGUUCCAAAACAAUAGCCCUUAUGAUCACACUCGAUUUGAUGUCCGUCGCAGCGGUCCAUGUACCUUCCGUGGCAGAGCUACUCACACAUAGCGGGUGUACACACAUCUGAUAUCCCCACAGUUAGAUCCAUACAAUGUUUUGUUAUAUCCGCAUCUGAAAGUAAUAUCACCAUGGAGGGGAGACAAUAAAUAUCAUAAGCGCAUAUAAAAUCUGAUGGUCAGGUUGGUGAGGUUAGAUCCUGCAGGAAGACCAAAUUAAAUGAUACCUGAUGCAAGUACAAGGAAGGCCAGUGUUAGCAGUAGCGCUAGAGGAAACCUCAUUGUCGCUCAGAUGUGGUGUAAUGGUGUGAACAAAACGUGACGUCGGAGUUUGGUUGUUGGAAUUGGG